GACGUAGGGCGCGAGCGUUGUCCGGAUUUAUUGGGCGUAAAGAGCUCGUAGGCGGCUUGUCGCGUCGUCCGUGAAAACCUGCAGCUCAACUGCAGGCUUGCGGUCGAUACGGGCAGGCUAGAGUUCGGUAGGGGAGACUGGAAUUCCUGGUGUAGCGGUGAAAUGCGCAGAUAUCAGGAGGAACACCGGUGGCGAAGGCGGGUCACUGGCCCGGUACUGACGCUGAGGUGCGAAAGCGUGGGGAGCAAACAGGG
rnacentral:rRNA from 1 species